UGAGGAAUAUUGGUCAAUGGACGGAAGUCUGAACCAGCCAUGCCGCGUGCAGGAAGACGGCUCUAUGAGUUGUAAACUGCUUUUGUACAAGGGUAAACCUGAAUACGUGUAUUCAGCUGAAAGUACUGUACGAAUAAGGAUCGGCUAACUCCGUGCC
rnacentral:rRNA from 1 species